GCAGCUAAGACUGUGGGAAUGAAUGAAGGAAUGCAGGCAGGCUCCAGGAGUCUCCAGAGUGCACCAAGAAUAAACUCGAGCCUUGGAACCUGGCUGGGAGAAGUAGCCCGAGAUUACUCUCUAUUGGCACACGGGACCAUCCUGGCCUGUGUUAAAAGGUCAUCAGGACCUAAAAAUGACUGCUACGGGAUCUGAGACCUCAUCAGGACCCCUCCUGGCUUUCUGGAGAAGCACGUGAGCUUCAGGAAAUGAAAACAUACAUUGUGGGAAAACCCCAGACUUCCGGAGCCAAGCUUUGGAGAGCAGACAGCAGCAGCAGCCAGGAGCCACACACACCCUCUUCCAGAAGGGGACACGUGGCUGUUACCUGUGAGUCUCUGUGUACUCCCCACUCUGCCUCAGGCCCUGUCCUCUCUGUCUGAUGACCUUUACAGGAGAAGGUGAGAACCUGGGCUAAGGCUGGCUUUCCAGCAGCUUCCCUGUCAUCAUUCAAAGAAAAUCCAGGCUCCUGGCCACAGACUGAGCCUGCCAGGUGCUUGGACUGCGUCUCCCUUCUCUCCACCUUGUUGGUACACCCUUGGACAGCAAGCUCAUUCCCAUCCUGGAGCUCAGCGGUUGCUCUGUCUGCAAAGCUGGGGGCCCAUAGGGGAUAGGAGGCGGCCUGGUCAGGCACCCCCUCUCCAGAAUGAGCUUCCUGUUCGCUGUCCCUAAAGCAGCCCCGCCUCCCACCUGGUCCUUUGGCCUCGAGCACUUGUUGCCAUCUGAUGCCACCUCCAGAAGGGAAGCCCCCUGGAGGGAGACCCAAACCUUGUCUACCUUCCCCAGCUGUAUCACGAGGUACAUCCCAGCACAUCAUCCUUGUUCAAUAAGAACGUCAGGGAUGAAUCUUUGGUCUCCAACAGGUAGACUGUGGAAGGCAAGGACUGGCAUUCCAGACCUGGGCUCUCAAAGCCAGAACCUGGCUCCAGGCCCACUGCUUAACAGCUGGUUCAGGUGGGAAGAACUGAGGCCACAGGUGAGGUUUCUGUCACCACCCCCAUCGCUCUGGACAGGCCCUUCCGGCUGGAUCGUCCUGACCUGCCAAAGGGUGGGAUGACAACUGUGCUGUCUGCCCUCAUGAGGGCAUCAAGGCUCUGAGGUAACAACUGGGAAAGGGCUAUGCCAGCAAAAAGGUGCUGACAAGCCCGAGGCUUAGGGAUGGUGAAGCUUCUCCACAGCUUUAAAUCUGAAUGUGGCAUUUUUUUUCAUACACAAAAAUAAACUCAAAAUGGAUUAAAGACCUAAAUGUAAGACCAGAAACUAUAAAGCUCUUAGAGGAAAACAUAGGCAGGAC
ensembl:lncRNA